UCGAGAAUAUUCCACAAUGGGCGAAAGCCUGAUGGAGCGACGCCGCGUGAUUGAAGAAACUCUUCGGAGCGUAAAGAUCUUUUCUCUGGGAUGAACUUUUAGUGACAGUACCAGAGGAAUAAGGGGGUGCAAAUUCUGUGCCAGCAGCCGCGGUAAUACAGAACCCCCAAGCGUUAUCCGGAUUUAUUGGGCGUAAAGAGUUCGUAGGUGGUUUAUUAAGUUUUUUGUUAAAAUCCAGAGCUUAACUUUGGAGGUGCGAAAAAUACUGAUAAACUCGAGGGCGUUAGGGGCUGAUGGAACCGACGGUGUAGGGGUGAAAUCCGUUGAUAUCGUCGGGAACACCAAAAGCGAAGGCAUUCAGCUGGGACGACCCUGACACUGAAGAACGAAAGCGUGGGUAGCAAAAAGG
rnacentral:rRNA from 1 species